UACUCCAGGACUGGUAAAACAUGCUGACUAAGAUAUAUUUGUCAUAUUCUGUGUGAAAAAUUGUGAGAGGUUGUUUUAUUGUGCCUCGUGUUUGUGUUGUUGAUAUGUCACAUUUACGGAGAGUCACUACGAGCUGUGUGUGGAAGCUAGGCUAACAAGCUGAGCAAACUUAGCGCCCUUGGAAGCGGAAGGAGUUUCAAUGCUUGAAAUCUAUAAGCCACCAAGGGGCCGAAGACAGUUGUAAGUGUCAGCACUUUGAUUAAAAAGAUUCAACGCUUGAAAUCUAUAAGCCACCAAGGGGCCGAAGACAGUUGUGAGUGCCAGCACUUUGAAUAAAAAGUUGAGAAACACUACUGAAAUCAAGA